CCUACGGGUGGCAGCAGUGAGGAAUAUUGGUCAAUGGGCGGGAGCCUGAACCAGCCAAGCCGCGUGAGGGAAGAAGGUACAGCGUAUCGUAAACCUCUUUUGUCAGGGAACAAAGGCGGGGACUAGUCCCCGGAUGAGGGUACCUGAAGAAAAAGCAUCGGCUAACUCCGUGCCAGCAGCCGCGGUAAUACGGAGGAUGCGAGCGUUAUCCGGAUUUAUUGGGUGUAAAGGGAGCGUAGACGGUGCAGCAAGUCUGAUGUGAAAGGUCGGGGCCCAACCCCGGGACUGCAUUGGAAACGGGUGAACGGGAGUACAGGAGAGGUAAGCGGAAUUCCUAGUGUAGCGGUGAAAUGCGUAGAUAUUAGGAGGAACACCAGUGGCGAAGGCGGCUUACUGGACUGUAACUGACGUUGAGGCUCGAAAGCGUGGGGAGCAAACAGGAUUAGAUACCCUGGUAGUC
rnacentral:rRNA from 1 species